UAAAUGCUUACUGAAUGUACACUAACGUUACUGUAUGAUUGUACCGGGUUUACUAACGCGUUAGUUAUAUUAGCUAUGCUGACUAUGACGUUACUUUAGCUAAUAUAGUGACAACGAUGUAGGCUGUUUUUCCCCCGCCUGGUCACAUGCAUAGAACUCCACAAGCGAAGGAAAGAGGUGAGAGGAGGAGAGCGCAUGGAAGCGAGAAGGAAUACAACGUGGCUGCUAUUGAUGCAUCAUUGGGCAGCAUUCAAGACAGUGGGCGAACUGGCUAGCUAGCUAGGUCGCAUUAGCUUAGAAGGUAGCCCUUACCGUGACGACAUAAACCUCGUCUGCUGAAUGUUGGGCAGUCCACAUGCUAAACACGGCAACCGGGGUCUCUUCGCCUCAAGUCCACUACUCCCUUCAAUAAUACUCAAUAUUCUAUGUGUGUGUUUCCUGUUGUAUUUACUGACGGUAGUCAGAAAGCCUCGUCGUAUUGCACAAGCAGCCAUCUUUUCUACUUCUGCACAAGCACGCCGAGGCUGACGUGUAUAAAAGCGGGCGAAUUAAAAAGUGUAUUUAAAGGUCCAAUGUAGCCGUUUUUAUCUAAAUAUCAAAUACUUUCUGGGUAACAAAGUACCUUACUGUAAUUAUUUUCAAUUAAAAUGGUCAAAAAAUAUUCCUAGCAAAGAUACAUUUCUCAAGCUAAAAUUUUGCUAGGAUUGUCUGGGAGUGUUCUGAGUGGCGAUGGAAAAUUUGAAAACCUAGCUGUUUUUGGCGGAGGUUUGGAAAUCUUUCUUAUUGGUCUAUUGAUGUCAACAGGCAGGCCAAAACUCCAUUCCACCACUAUCAUACUUUUCGCAAUUUCACAGUAUUAUGCCAACCUCAGUGUGGAAAUAUUAAUACAUAUAAUGUUUUUGGCUGCACUGGGUCUAAAGUUUCACCUUAGCAUCAGGUACUCUGUUGUGUUUAAAGUAUCUCAAUGUAAAGGCCCAGUGCAGUCACACAAUUCCAGAGUGUUAUUUCGACCUCAAUGUACUCAUUUUGAGAAUUACAUUUACUUUUGAACCAAGUGCUUUUUGACUUUUACUCAAGUAGUAUUUUGCUAGGAGACUUUUACAAUUUUUUAUUUUUUACUUUUACAAUUGAGUACUUUUUCUACCACUGCAAACAGGCUAUUAUUACUGUAACGUUAACUACCCAACGUUACAUUGGCUACACAGUAAGUAGAGCUAGGUCGCUGUUUUUCUAUAUUAAACUACGUACGAUAUGUUGUUACACGGAACAAAAUAAAGUUUGCGCCAGAAGGGCCCUGUUUGAACGCAUAGUUACGCUAACUCCGUAUUCACAAUGUACAAUACUCAGUGAGUCAACUCAAAUCCAGCUAACUGGAAUUUGUCUUUCAGCAUAAAAAUAUCCUGCCUCUUCUUCACCAGUGAAUCAGGCAGCACUUCAGGGUCAUCGCUGAUGAAAGGCCUGCAAAAUGACAACGAGGAGAUACUUGAGGACAAAGAGUAUGCGAUUGAGACACAGACACACAUACACAGGACAUGCAGGUGAACAUCGACUGGCAGAGAAGCAGCUGAACUGGUUCACCCCUAGCCCUUCUAGUUUGAUGCUGACAGAGGUGGCUGCUGCACAUGCUAAAGUGGUGGUGCAGGUCGUAAAAAUGCUCUAGCCUGGUCCCAGAUCCCUCUAGCCUGGGCUUGCUAACUCCUAAUGUAUGAUAUGGUUAUGAUAGUAAUGUAGGCCCUAACAUGCACUUUGUUUUCAGGUUUGAAUGAGACAAUAUAUUCCCCUAACCUUAUUAUUUUAAUAAAGUUAUUGUUUAUGA